rnacentral:lncRNA from 1 species
GCGGCGCUGGCGCUGGCUCCGGCUCCGGGACGGAGCUCGGGGGUGCCCGGCUGGGGAGGCUGCCUGUGAGGAGCCUUGCAGAUCCUGGCCGCAGUGCGCUUGAAGAUAAAUAUAUAUAUAAAAAGGAAGGAAAGGCACGUAUAUGCCGGUAGUUAACCCGUGCACCGCAGAGCGGUGCGCGGCCGGUGGGGCUGGUGGUUUGAGACGUUUCAUCUCUAAUAAAGUCAGUAGGCGAAAGUAUGUGUGAAGGUUUCCUGUCUGGUUUGGGUCUUCCACGGUUUCGAGCCGCGGUGUUUUUUUCUGUGCCUGGCGCGGGCAGUGUUUGAGGCUUUUAUUAUUUCUGGGUCGCGCAGGGAAGGCGUAAAGUGAAAGCUCUGCGUGUCCAAGUUUUGCAUUGUAUGGGGUUGCUGGCUGCUCACAGCAGGCUGGUUUUGUGAGGCACCAUAUUUAUUAAGAAACUUCUGGUUUCACAAACCAGGGAAAAGAGGGGAGGGAUGCAGGAGGUGGAAAGAGAAAUCGCACCAAAAUUUCAAAGGUGUAGCUUGAGGCAAGCAGCUAGCCCAAACUGAUUUCGUAAGGCAACGAUAACGUGAAUCACAGUUAAAAAAAUGAAGCGAGGAAUCCAUUCCUCCAGCUGUGCCUGUGUCUAGUGUUCAGGGGUGGGAAAUGCAUUAAUUUGGGGGGAUGGCAGAAAUGGCUAUGAUUCUCCCCGACCGUCAAAAAGGGUGAAAGUCUGUGGUAUCCUUUUUGGUGCUGAGUGAUUUCAGUUGUGCCAUGCCGGCAUGCACAGCGAUGUCGCUGCUUGUGCAGAGCUGUCCGGGUUACCUGCCUGGCUCUUGUACAUGCUCGAGUUCACCUUGCCGUGGGACUGAGAGGCAGCUGGAGAUGUGCUGAGCCCUGUCCCCAUUGUCCUUUGCCCACCCACGCAUUUGCCCCAAUUUGGGGAGUCUUACCCCCAGUGUACAGUGGCUCUGUGCGAACAAGGAGCUGCAGAGCAGGAUGUGUACCUGAUGAGGAACAAGCCUGGAAAGGAUUAAUACAACUGCUGAGUUUUAGUGAUAUCCUUAGGAAGAGGCUGCAGGGGAGUAUUACAGUAACGGGUAGCAGCGUGAGGGUUUGCUUCGUGAUCUCUCUCCUCCUGCUUCCCCAACUCGUGCUCUGUAAUUUUGGUCUCUUCAGUAAAUGCAAAGUAACUUCUGACCUGUCACAGACCUGAGAGACAGCCCUGGACUAUACGACUGAAUUUCUUCCACCUCCUUCACUUUAAAAGUGCACGUGUUUUAAAUUAAUCUGUUGUAAGUACUCAGGUUUGGGAAGUGGCUUUUGUAAAUUAUUUAUAUAAAACAGACUGAAUGAACAAAUUGUCUAAAGACCCUUCGCUUCCCCCCCCUUCCCCAAACUUCAGCAUGAUUUGUUACCCAUCUCCUGUGAAUUUGAAUUGGUU